rnacentral:rRNA from 1 species
UACGAAGGGGGCUAGCGUUGCUCGGAAUUACUGGGCGUAAAGCGCACGUAGGCGGCUUUCUAAGUCGGGGGUGAAAUCCUGGAGCUCAACUCCAGAACUGCCUUCGAUACUGGAGAGCUCGAGUCCGGGAGAGGUGAGUGGAACUGCGAGUGUAGAGGUGAAAUUCGUAGAUAUUCGCAAGAACACCAGUGGCGAAGGCGGCUCACUGGCCCGGUACUGACGCUGAGGUGCAAAAGCGUGGGGAGCAAACAGG